GACGAACGCUGGCGGUGUGCUUCACACAUGCAAGUCGAACGAGUGACUGCUUUGUAGCAAUACAAAGUAGAAGCUAGUGGCGGACGGGUGAGUAACGCGUAGGAAUCUGCCUUUGAGUGGGGGAUAGCAGACCGAAAGGUCUAUUAAUACCGCAUACGUAUAUACUUCGACAGUUGUAUAUAUAAAAGAGCAAUCUGCUCAUAGAUGAGCCUGCGUCCGAUUAGCUAGUUGGUAGUGUAAUAGACUACCAAGGCGACGAUCGGUAGGUGGUCUGAGAGGAUGAUCACCCACAAUGGAACUGAGACACGGUCCAUACU
rnacentral:rRNA from 1 species